CUUGAUCAUUGCUAAAGGCUAUCUUUCAUUGUAAUAAAUCGAUGUUUUCAAUAAUAAUAAAAAAAAAAAAAAAACAGAUAGGAAGG